AUGGCGAGGAUCAUCAAUAUCAAGGCAAAUACCAUCGAUGCUGCGGCAGGAGAAAUACUUGGUAUUCUGGAUGGUAUUAGCAAACACGAAAGAAAUAUCUACUUUCAUGGCUGGUGUGGACUCGGGGCAUCUUCUGCUCUCAGAGUGGCAGCCCAACGCCUGAAAUCACUGGCUCCUAAAGGAAGGAAGUUUGACAAGGUUGUCCAUGUGGACUGCACAUUGUGGCAAAGCAUGAGAGCCUUGCAAAAGGCUGUUGCGGAGGAGCUAGAGUUUCCCCAGUCGAUGAUGGCCAUCUUUGAUCAGCAUGAUGAGGAGGAUGAUUUCAAUGGGAUACACCAAGGCUCCAGAGGGUUUAUAUUGGAUGUCAGAGAGGAGAUCUUCAGAAAGCUUGCUAGCAUUACAUUUGUGGUGUUUUUGCACAACGGGAACAACCGCGACAUUGAUUUGUAUGAGUUCGGUGUCCCUGUAACAACAUUUUUGAGUAACAAAGUGGUGUGGACCUGGGGUGGGGGUUUCCAUUUGCCCUAUGCAAGUCUGGGACGUCAAGUUAUAAACAAGAUUGAUGUUUUCCUAGUAAGUGAAGAAUGGCGCGAUCAUGCAUUGCAUGAAGAGGCCGCGAAGGUUGCCAAGUGCAUGGGCAUUCUUGAUCCCGAUAAGAUAGUUGAGUGCUUCCAGUAUGUAUGGGGACGAAGACUUAUCAACUGUAUCGACUGGGGGAUGCAUGCUUCAAACUAUUGGGUAUGUGACGGGAUUAUCCAA
rnacentral:rRNA from 1 species